CCUACGGGAGGCAGCAGUGGGGAAUUUUGGACAAUGGGCGCAAGCCUGAUCCAGCCAUGCCGCGUGUGGGAAGAAGGCCUUCGGGUUGUAAACCACUUUUGUCAGGGAAGAAACGGCUUUUUCUAAUACAGAGAGCUAAUGACGGUACCUGAAGAAUAAGCACCGGCUAACUACGUGCCAGCAGCCGCGGUAAUACGUAGGGUGCAAGCGUUAAUCGGAAUUACUGGGCGUAAAGCGUGCGCAGGCGGCUUUGCAAGACAGAUGUGAAAUCCCCGGGCUCAACCUGGGAACUGCAUUUGUGACUGCAUGGCUAGAGUACGGUAGAGGGGGAUGGAAUUCCGCGUGUAGCAGUGAAAUGCGUAGAUAUGCGGAGGAACACCGAUGGCGAAGGCAAUCCCCGGACCUGUACUGACGCUCAUGCACGAAAGCGUGGGGAGCAAACAGGAUUAGAUACCCUGGUAGUCCACGCCCUAAACGAUGUCAACUGGUUGUUGGACGGCUUGCUGUUCAGUAACGAAGCUAACGCGUGAAGUUGACCGCCUGGGGAGUACGGCCGCAAGGUUGAAACUCAAAGGAUUGACGGCNGAGAGNGCGACGACGACGACGAGGGAGGAGG
rnacentral:rRNA from 1 species